rnacentral:rRNA from 1 species
ACUAAGCGUACACGGUGGAUGCCCUGGCAGUCAGAGGCGAUGAAGGACGUGCUAAUCUGCGAUAAGCGUCGGUAAGGUGAUAUGAACCGUUAUAACCGGCGAUUUCCGAAUGGGGAAACCCAGUGUGAUUCGUCACACUAUCAUUAACUGAAUCCAUAGGUUAAUGAGGCGAACCGGGGGAACUGAAACAUCUAAGUACCCCGAGGAAAAGAAAUCAACCGAGAUUCCCCCAGUAGCGGCGAGCGAACGGGGAGCAGCCCAGAGCCUGAAUCAGUGUGUGUGUUAGUGGAAGCGUCUGGAAAGGCGCGCGAUACAGGGUGACAGCCCCGUACACAAAAAUGCACAUGCUGUGAGCUCGAUGAGUAGGGCGGGACACGUGGUAUCCUGUCUGAAUAUGGGGGGACCAUCCUCCAAGGCUAAAUACUCCUGACUGACCGAUAGUGAACCAGUACCGUGAGGGAAAGGCGAAAAGAACCCCGGCGAGGGGAGUGAAAAAGAACCUGAAACCGUGUACGUACAAGCAGUGGGAGCACGCUUAGGCGUGUGACUGCGUACCUUUUGUAUAAUGGGUCAGCGACUUAUAUUCUGUAGCAAGGUUAACCGAAUAGGGGAGCCGAAGGGAAACCGAGUCUUAACUGGGCGUUAAGUUGCAGGGUAUAGACCCGAAACCCGGUGAUCUAGCCAUGGGCAGGUUGAAGGUUGGGUAACACUAACUGGAGGACCGAACCGACUAAUGUUGAAAAAUUAGCGGAUGACUUGUGGCUGGGGGUGAAAGGCCAAUCAAACCGGGAGAUAGCUGGUUCUCCCCGAAAGCUAUUUAGGUAGCGCCUCGUGAAUUCAUCUCCGGGGGUAGAGCACUGUUUCGGCAAGGGGGUCAUCCCGACUUACCAACCCGAUGCAAACUGCGAAUACCGGAGAAUGUUAUCACGGGAGACACACGGCGGGUGCUAACGUCCGUCGUGAAGAGGGAAACAACCCAGACCGCCAGCUAAGGUCCCAAAGUCAUGGUUAAGUGGGAAACGAUGUGGGAAGGCCCAGACAGCCAGGAUGUUGGCUUAGAAGCAGCCAUCAUUUAAAGAAAGCGUAAUAGCUCACUGGUCGAGUCGGCCUGCGCGGAAGAUGUAACGGGGCUAAACCAUG